UACGAAGGGGGCAAGCGUUAAUCGGAAUUACUGGGCGUAAAGGGCGCGUAGGCGGUUGUUUAAGUCUGUCGUGAAAUCCCCGGGCUCAACCUGGGAAUGGCGAUGGAAACUGGGCAGCUAGAGUGUGUCAGAGGAUGGUGGAAUUCCCGGUGUAGCGGUGAAAUGCGUAGAGAUCGGGAGGAACAUCAGUGGCGAAGGCGGUCAUCUGGGACAACACUGACGCUGAAGCACGAAAGCGUGGGGAGCAAACAGG
rnacentral:rRNA from 1 species